GCACCAGCAAAAUCUGGUGCCAGGAUUGGCGUCCUGAAUGACUGUAUGGCGACACAUGACGCGCCAAGCGUCUUUUUU
rfam:Klebsiella pneumoniae IS39, WGS project CBWT01000000 data, contig: c765